rnacentral:rRNA from 1 species
UCUAAUCGCUUAACUAUUAGGCUUCCAGGGGAUACUGUUAGACUUGGGACCGGGAGAGGUAAGAGGUACUGCAGGGGUAGGAGUGAAAUCUUGUAAUCCCUGUGAGACCACCAGUGGCGAAGGCGUCUUACCAGAACGGGUCCGACGGUGAGGGACGAAAGCUGGGGGCACGAACCGGAUUAGAUACCCGGGUAGUCCCAGCUGUAAACGAUGCUCGUUAGGUGUCAGGAACGGUGCGACUGUUUCUGGUGCCGAAGGGAAGCCGUGAAACGAGCCACCUGGGAAGUACGGCCGCAAGGCUGAAACUUAAAGGAAUUGGCGGGGGAGCACUACAACGGGUGGAGCCUGCGGUUUAAUUGGACUCAACGCCGGAAAACUCACCGGGGGCGACAGCAAUAUGUAGGUCAGGUUAAAGGUCUUACCUGAAUCGCUGAGAGGAGGUGCAUGGCCGUCGUCAGUUCGUACUGUGAAGCAUCCUGUUAAGUCAGGCAACGAGCAAGACCCGUGCCCACUGUUACCAGCAUAUCCUUUAUGGAUGAUGGGGACUCUGUGGGGACCGCUGCUGCUAAAGCAGAGGAAGGUGCGGGCUACGGUAGGUCAGUAUGCCCCGAAUCUCCCGGGCUACACGCGGGCUACAAUGGUUGGGACAAUGGGUAUCUACUCCGAAAGGAGUUGGCAAUCUCUUAAACCCAAUCGUAGUUCGAAUUGAGGGCUGUAACUCGCCACUCAUGAAGCU